GAUGAACGCUGGCGGCGUGCCUAAUACAUGCAAGUCGAGCGAACGGACGAGAAUCUUGCUUCUCUGAUGUUAUCGGCUGACGUGUGAGUAACACGUGGAUAACCUACCUAUAAUACUUGGAUAACUUCGGGAAACCGUAGCUAAUACCGGAUAAUAUUUUUAACCGCAUUGUUCAAAAUUUAAAGACGGUCUUUCUGUCACUUAUAGAUUGUUCCGCGCUGCAUUAGAUAGUUGGUAAGGUAACGGCUUACCAAGGCAACGAUGCAUAGCCGACCUGAGAGGGGGAUCGGAAACACGGGAACUGAGACACGGAAAAGAAUAAUACGGGAGGCAGCAGUAGGGAAGAGUACGCAAUGGGCGAAAGCAUGAAGGAGCAAAGCCGCGUGAGUGAUGAAGGACUUAGGAUCGUAAAACUAUGUUAUUAGGGAAGAAAAAAUGUGUAAGUAAAUGUGAAAAUCGUGACGGUAAAUAAUCAGAAAGCAACGGCUAACUACGUG
rnacentral:rRNA from 1 species